rnacentral:tRNA from 1 species
GAGGGCAUAGCUCGAGUGGUAGAGUGCAUGCUUAGCAUGCACAGGGUCCUGGGUUCAAUACCCAGUACCUCCA